UAGGGAGAACAAUAAUGGGCCCAGAACCGAGCCUUGAGGAACACCAAAGCAUACCUUUGACUUGUCAGAGAAUACAUCCACACUAACAAACUGAUAUCUUUCAGAUAAAUACGAUUUAAACCAGGCUAGAACAUGUCCACGUAGCCCAAUAUGGGUUUCCAGUCUCUCUAAGAAAAGGGAGUGAUCAAUAGUGUCAAAAGCAGCACUAAGAUCAAGAAGCAACAGGACGGAUGCAGAACCUUUGUCUGAGGCCAUUAGAAGGUCAUUUGUUACCUUCACGUAAACUCCUGAGGCAAGAAAAAUGCCUGAACCAAAUCAUCAGGUACACCAGCUUAGUUGAGCAGUGACUCCUGGUUAUAUUAGUGUCUGUAGUGGACACCAGGCUUUGUUUACAUAAAUGAAAAGCCUGUUCUGGUCUUACCGGAGUCCUUUGCUGUUCGGUCAGGCCUGAAGACGUCGCGGCCUUCUAGCCCAAUAGUGUUCUCAGGUAUGUUGUUGUGUAGGCACUUUUCUGUGAAAAAAAUUAUGCUGCAAUUAAUAAUAUUUUUCGUGAGACGAUUCUUAGUUGUAUUUCAUCCAUUUUGUUUGCCAGUGGCUGUACAUUAGCGAGAAAAAUGCUAGGUAGUGAAAGCCUUUGGGGGUUAGCUUUAGCCUAGCCAAGGCCUCCUCGCUUGACUAAUUGACUAACUUAAUGUGGUGUGGCAAGAUGCUGCACAGCUGUCUUAUAUCGAGAAUACAUGUUCCCCCUCGUUCUAUCCAUUCCUAGGUAUUUACCUAAAGGGCAGGUUGUCCCUCCAUUUCUCAGGAAACUACAGCAACAUUGUAAAGUAUCUUUUCAAGAGCCACACACCUAUAAAACCAAAGAACUGUCAUGAAUCCUGCAUCUUGAGUCUGUUUUGCCAGUGUUUUGUUUUUGCUCAAACCAGAAGUUUGUUUUUCCUGAGUUUUCCUGAACACAUCCCGGCUGAGUCUCCAACCACUUACACCUGCUGCGAUCUGCACACCCGGUCCUGAUUACCAUUCCCUGCACCAUAUAAGCCGCGACCAGACAUCCAUUACCUGCCGGAUCGUUAGCGUAACCUUUACUCACCUGGAUUGUCACUCACACCUGCCUAGCUGUCUACUCCACUGCAGCACAUUUGGAUCAGCACAGAAACCUCCCGUCUUCCAGCCUCACUCCCUGCCGUCCAACUGGACCUAAUCGUUUUCCACAUUCAAAUUCCAAGUACUGGCAUUCUGGACAGCCUGAUAACUUUAAGAAUCAGGAGGACUGCGCUGAGAUAUACUAUGGGGAACAUAACUCAUUUGAGACAUGGAAUUAGUUGAAUUGUGGGACAACACUUAACUGGAUUUGUGAGAGAGUGGUUUAAAAAUGACCUGUCCCUUUCUGUCUCUCAAGUUGUUAUGAAUAAAUAAAUAUACCUCCCAUUUAUAUACUUCCCAUUUAUUUGACAAUAAAACUAUUGAGCAUUUAGUCACAGAGAAAGAGACAGAACCAGGCAAAACCAACAAUAUAACUAGACCCUGAGAAUUAACAUCACUACUUACAGUAACAGUCAAAUAUUCAGACUCACUGUUAUAGAAUAGAGUGUUGUGCUUCUGAUUUGCCUGCAUAGCAACAAUUAUGUUUAAAUAGGUUAUUGCUUUGCUGAUGGAAAAAUACAGAAUUUGUUCCUGUGAGAAGCGAUACAUGUUGUUCUAGUAAAGUGUAACAAUAUAACUUGUGGCUGACAGCUGUACAACCUGUAACCACUGGAUGGGCAAAGAUGUUAGAAAAACCAGCUAGAACCAGAUAAACUUUGUCUAGGUGAAGUGUAACUGUUGUUAAGUAUAAAUGUUUUUAUCACACCAUAUUAACAGUACAAGAAAAUUUCCUUCUUAGCUGUACUUUCUGAGAUUUCACUGUCUCUCUGCUUGCAAGUAUUGAAU
ensembl:lncRNA